AGUGAACGCUGGCGGUAGGCCUAACACAUGCAAGUCGAACGGCAGCACAGUAAGAGCUUGCUCUUACGGGUGGCGAGUGGCGGACGGGUGAGGAAUACAUCGGAAUCUACUUUUUCGUGGGGGAUAACGUAGGGAAACUUACGCUAAUACCGCAUACGACCUACGGGUGAAAGCAGGGGAUCUUCGGACCUUGCGCGAUUGAAUGAGCCGAUGUCGGAUUAGCUAGUUGGCGGGGUAAAGGCCCACCAAGGCGACGAUCCGUAGCUGGUCUGAGAGGAUGAUCACCCACACUGGAAAUGAGAAACGGCCCAGACCCCUAAGGGAGGAAGCGGUGGGGAAUAUUGGAAAAUGGGCGCAAGCCUGAUCCAGCCAUCCCGGGUGGGUGAAGAAGGCCUUCGGGUUGGAAAGCCCUUUUUUUGGGAAAAAAAAGCAGCAGGUUAAAACCCCGCUGUUCUGACGGUACCCAAAGAAUAAGCCCCGGCUAACUUCGU
rnacentral:rRNA from 1 species